rnacentral:rRNA from 1 species
CGCACGGGUGAGUAACACGUAUCCAACCUGCCGUCUACUCUUGGACAGCCUUCUGAAAGGAAGAUUAAUACAAGAUGGCAUCAUGAGUUCACAUGUUCACAUGAUUAAAGGUAUUCCGGUAGACGAUGGGGAUGCGUUCCAUUAGAUAGUAGGCGGGGUAACGGCCCACCUAGUCUUCGAUGGAUAGGGGUCUGAGAGGAAGGUCCCCCACAUUGGAACUGAGACACGGUCCAA